rnacentral:rRNA from 1 species
ACGAACGCUGGCGGCAGGCCUAACACAUGCAAGUCGAGCGAGUGUAGCAAUACACGAGCGGCGCACGGGUGAGUAGCGCGUGGGAAUCUACCCUGUGGUGGGGGACAACCUCGGGAAACUGAGGCUAAUACCGCAUACGUCCUUCGGGAGAAAGACUUCGGUCGCCAUAGGAGGAGCCCGCGUCCGAUUAGCUAGUUGGUGAGGUAAUGGCUCACCAAGGCGACGAUCGGUAGCUGGUCUGAGAGGACGGCCAGCCACACUGGGACUGAGACACGGCCCAGACUCCUACGGGAGGCAGCAGUGGGGAGUAUUGGACAAUGGGGGAAACCCUGAUCCAGCCAUGCCGCGUGAGUGAUGAAGGCCUUCGGGUUGUAAAGCUCUUUUAGCGGGGAAGAUAAUGACGGUACCCGCAGAAUAAGCCCCGGCUAACUUCGU